rnacentral:lncRNA from 1 species
UCACUCUUUGGUGAUCUUGUAGAAUUAAGAAGAAAUUUAGAAGAAAUGGGGUUGUCGAACCGACUCCAUGACGUCUCCAGCGACUCCAUCCCGAUCCUCCUGGUCGUGACGGCAGCCGAGUGGGUCUCCUACCUUCGCUCCCUCCUCCUCUGCCUCCUCCACUCCCUCGGCCUCCUCCGUCUCCACCCCGCCGACGAAGACCCCCUCGUCCCAGCCGCCGGAUCCGGCCUCGCCGGCCUCGUCGUCAUCGCCGCCUCCACCCGCUCCUUCAUCUACGAGCCCGCGCCGUCGGCGGCGGAGG